AUUGAACGCUGGCGGCAGGCUUAACGCAUGCAAGUCGAGCGGGGUGAUGGUGCUUGCACUAUCACUUAGCGGCGGACGGGUGAGUAAUGCUUAGGAAUCUGCCUAUUAGUGGGGGACAACAUCUCGAAAGGGAUGCUAAUACCGCAUACGUCCUACGGGAGAAAGCAGGGGAUCACUUGUGACCUUGCGCUAAUAGAUGAGCCUAAGUCGGAUUAGCUAGUUGGUGGGGUAAAGGCCUACCAAGGCGACGAUCUGUAGCGGGUCUGAGAGGAUGAUCCGCCACACCGGGACUGAGACACGGCCCAGACUCCUACGGGAGGCAGCAGUGGGGAAUAUUGGACAAUGGGGGGAACCCUGAUCCAGCCAUGCCGCGUGUGUGAAGAAGGCCUUAUGGUUGUAAAGCACUUUAAGCGAGGAGGAGGCUCUUUUGGUUAAUACCCAAGAUGAGUGGACGUUACUCGCAGAAUAAGCACCGGCUAACUCUGUGCCAGCAGCCGCAGUAA
rnacentral:rRNA from 1 species